GUCAAUGGAACAUACAUUGUUGGUUGUACAACCGUUGUAAAGGUUUUCUUGAGAGAUGGGCGGACUCAUGAAGCUAUGUCAUUCAAAGAAUCUCGUAGCGAAUCAAUUGGCGCAGCUUAUGAUGAAGCACGAAAUAAAUCUUUCCAUCGAGCCUUGUAUGACGCCUUUACGUUUUUUUGGGAAUUUAUGAAGAUAAUGGAGAAGCUGAGUAAUGAAAAGGUGCAAAGAAUGGUCAAGCAGCAACAGUUAAAAGCCGAAUGGAAUAAUAAAAAUAUUGUAAAAAAUUAA